AGAGUUUGAUCCUGGCUCAGGAUGAACGCUAGCGACAGGCUUAACACAUGCAAGUCGAGGGGCAGCGGGGAGUAGCAAUACUUCGCCGGCGACCGGCGCACGGGUGAGUAACACGUGUGCAACCAACCCCGUACCGGGAGAUAACCCGCGGAAACGUGGACUAACAUCCCAUGAUACUCGAGGGCCGCAUGGCUCUCGAUUUAAAAUUCCGGUGGUACGGGACGGGCACGCGCGACAUUAGGUAGUUGGCGGGGUAACGGCCCACCAAGCCGACGAUGUCUAGGGGUUCUGAGAGGAAGGUCCCCCACACUGGAACUGAGACACGGUCCAGACUCCUACGGGAGGCAGCAGUGAGGAAUAUUGGUCAAUGGGCGAGAGCCUGAACCAGCCAAGUCGCGUGAGGGAAGAAUGGUCUAUGGCCUGUAAACCUCUUUUGUCAGGGAAGAAUAAGGAUGACGAGUCAUUCGAUGCCAGUACUUGACGAAUAAGCAUCGGCUAACUCCGUGCCAGCAGCCGCGGUAAUACGGGGGAUGCGAGCGUUAUCCGGAUUUAUUGGGUUUAAAGGGCGCGUAGGCGGGACGUCAAGUCAGCGGUAAAAGACUGCAGCUAAACUGUAGCACGCCGUUGAAACUGGCGCCCUGGAGACGAGACGAGGGAGGCGGAACAAGUGAAGUAGCGGUGAAAUGCAUAGAUAUCACUUGGAACCCCGAUAGCGAAGGCAGCUUCCCAGGCUCGUUCUGACGCUGAUGCGCGAGAGCGUGGGUAGCGAACAGGAUUAGAUACCCUGGUAGUCCACGCCGUAAACGAUGCUCACUGGAUCUUGGCGAUACACUGCCAGGGUUCAAGCGAAAGUAUUAAGUGAGCCACCUGGGGAGUACGUCGGCAACGAUGAAACUCAAAGGAAUUGACGGGGGCCCGCACAAGCGGAGGAACAUGUG
rnacentral:rRNA from 1 species